AGCAUGUGGUUUAAUUCGAGGCAACGCGCAGAACCUUACCAGCCUUUGACAUCCUAGGACGACUUCUGGAGACAGAUUUCUUCCCUUCGGGGACCUAGUGACAGGUGCUGCAUGGCUGUCGUCAGCUCGUGUCGUGAGAUGUUGGGUUAAGUCCCGCAACGAGCGCAACCCUCGUCCUUAGUUGCCAUCAUUAAGUUGGGCACUUUAAGGAAACUGCCGGUGAUAAGCCGGAGGAAGGUGGGGAUGACGUCAAGUCCUCAUGGCCCUUACAGGCUGGGCUACACACGUGCUACAAUGGCAUCUACAGUGGGCAGCUAUUCCGCAAGGAUGCGCUAAUCUCCAAAAGAUGUCUCAGUUCGGAUUGUCCUCUGCAACUCGAGGGCAUGAAGGCGGAAUCGCUAGUAAUCGCGGAUCAGCAUGCCGCGGUGAAUACGUUCCCAGGCCUU
rnacentral:rRNA from 1 species